GACGAACGCUGGCGGCGUGCUUAACACAUGCAAGUCGAACGGAAAGGCCCUGCUUUUGUGGGGUGCUCGAGUGGCGAACGGGUGAGUAACACGUGAGUAACCUUCCCUUUACUUUGGGAUAACUUCAGGAAACUGGGGCUAAUACCGGAUAGGAGCUCCUGCUGCAUGGGGGGGGUUGGAAAGUUUCGGCGGGUGGGGAUGGACGCGCGGCUUAUCAGCUUGUUGGUGGGGUAGUUGCUUACCAAGGCUUUGACGGGUGGCCGGCCUGAGGGGGUGACCGGCCACAUUGGGCCUGAGACGCGGCCCAGACCCCUACGGGGGGCAGGAGGGGGGAAUAUUGCACAAGGGGCGGAAGCGUGAUGGAGCCGCGCCGCGUGCGGGAUGACGGCCUUCGGGUGGUAAACCGCUUUCGACUGUGGCGAAGCGUGAGUGCCGGAACUGGGUAAAGAAGCACCGGCUACCUACGU
rnacentral:rRNA from 1 species